CGAGCGGGCGUAGCAAUACGUCAGCGGCAGACGGGUGAGUAACGCGUGGGAACGUACCUUUUGGUUCGGAACAACACAGGGAAACUUGUGCUAAUACCGGAUAAGCCCUUACGGGGAAAGAUUUAUCGCCGAAAGAUCGGCCCGCGUCUGAUUAGCUAGUUGGUAGGGUAAUGGCCUACCAAGGCGACGAUCAGUAGCUGGUCUGAGAGGAUGAUCAUCCACAUUGGGACUGAGACACGGCCCAAACUCCUACGGGAGGCAGCAGUGGGGAAUAUUGGACAAUGGGGGCAACCCUGAUCCAGCCAUGCCGCGUGAGUGAUGAAGGCCCUAGGGUUGUAAAGCUCUUUUGUGCGGGAAGAUAAUGACGGUACCGCAAGAAUAAGCCCCGGCUAACUUCGUGCCAGCAGCCGCGGUAAUACGAAGGGGGCUAGCGUUGCUCGGAAUCACUGGGCGUAAAGGGUGCGUAGGCGGGUUUUUAAGUCAGGGGUGAA
rnacentral:rRNA from 1 species